UACAGUCAUAUCACGUUGAAACACCGGUUCUUGUACGACCAGUGAAGUUAAGCAACGUCCAUACUGGUCUGUACUUAGAUGGGUGACCGCUUGGAAAUACCAGGCGCCGUAA